GCUUUUUGUAGAACGAGCCAACGAGUUACGGUAUGUAGCAAGGUUAAGUACUUAAGGUACGGAGCCGAAGGGAAACCGAGUCUGAAUAGGGCGACUAGUUGCAUGCCGUAGACCCGAAACCGGGUGACCUAUCCAUGGCCAGGUUGAAGCGAGGGUAAAACCUCGUGGAGGACCGAACCACGUUGCUGUUGAAAAAGCAUGGGAUGAGCUGUGGAUAGCGGAGAAAUUCCAAUCGAACCCGGAGAUAGCUGGUUCUCUCCGAAAUAGCUUUAGGGCUAGCGUCGAGUAUGAGUAGUGGAGGUAGAGCACUGAAUGGGCUAGGGGGCAUAGCGCUUACCGAACCUUAUCAAACUCCGAAUGCCACAUACUUUGAGCUCGGCAGUCAGACUACGAAUGAUAAGAUCCGUGGUCAAAAGGGAAACAGCCCAGAUCGUCAGCUAAGGUCCCAAAGUGUAAGUUAAGUGGGAAAGGAUGUGAGAUUUCUAAGACAACUAGGAUGUUGGCUUAGAAGCAGCCAUUCAUUAAAAGAGUGCGUAAUAGCUCACUAGUCGAGAGAUCUUGCGCCGAAAAUGUAACGGGGCUAAACUUA
rnacentral:rRNA from 1 species